CGGGACGUUCCUCUCGUGGCCCCCCCGCGCCGCUCCCGCACGAAGCGGCCGCCGGCCGGGCCGGCCGCGGGCAGCAACAGCGACCUGGUGCGGGGCUGGGCCGGGGGGCGCGGGGACCCCCGGGCUGGGGGACCCCCGGGAGGGGCGGUCAGACAGGCUCCGGCUUCCCAGUGCUCCCAGUAUGGGAAUGGCAGUGCCGGGGAGGGGGCAGUGGGAGGAAGUUUCCCUGGGGAAUGGCAAGGGGAGAGGGGGGGUGAUGGUGUGGGAAUUCAGGGAUUCGGGACUUCGGGAAUGGCGGGGGCAGGGAUAUAGAGUUUGGGGAUGCGGGAUUUGGGAAUGCAGGGAUAUAGGGUGUGGGAAUUCAGGGGUGAGGGGUGCAGGAUUUGGGAAUGCAGGGGUGCCGGGAUGUGGAAUUCAGGGAUUUUGGGAAUGCAGGAUUUGGGAAUGCAGGGGUAGCCAGGGACGGAGGGAUGUGGAAUUCGGAGAUGCGGGGACGCAGGAUUUGGGAAUGCGGGGACGCAGGAUUUGCGAAUUCGGGGACGCAGGAUUUGGGAAUGCAGGGGUAGCCAGGGACGCAGGAAUUUGGGAAUUCGGGGGUGCAGGGACGCAGGAUUUGGGAAUUUGGGGAUGUAGGAUUUGGGAAUUCAGGGGUGCAGGGAUGCUCGUAUGUGGAAUUCGGGGGUGCAGGAUUUGGGAAUUCGGGGAUGCCGGAUUUGGGAUUCCGGGGAUGCAGGAUUUGGGAAUUUGGGGAUGCAGGGAUGCUCAUAUGUGGAAUUCGGGGGAUGCAGGGAUGCUCGUAUGUGGAAUUUGGGGACACAGGAUUUGGGAAUUUGGGGAUGCAGGAUUUGGGAAUCCGGGGAUGCAGGGAUGCUCGUAUGUGGAAUCUGGGGAUGCAGGAUUUGGGAAUCUGGGGAUGCAGGAUUUGGGAAUUUGGGGAUGCAGAAUUUGGGAAUCCGGGGGUGCAGGAUUUGGGAAUUCAGGG
rnacentral:lncRNA from 13 species